rnacentral:rRNA from 1 species
GAGUUUGAUCGUGGCUCAGAUUGAACGCUGGCGGCAUGCCUUACACAUGCAAGUCGAACGGCAGCAUGAUCUAGCUUGCUAGAUUGAUGGCGAGUGGCGAACGGGUGAGUAAUACAUCGGAACGUGCCCUGUAGUGGGGGGUAACUAGUCGAAAGAUUAGCUAAUACCGCAUACGACCUGAGGGUGAAAGUGGGGGACCGCAAGGCCUCAUGCUAUAGGAGCGGCCGAUGUCUGAUUAGCUAGUUGGUGGGGUAAAGGCCCACCAAGGCGACGAUCAGUAGCUGGUCUGAGAGGACGAUCAGCCACACUGGGACUGAGACACGGCCCAGACUCCUACGGGAGGCAGCAGUGGGGAAUUUUGGACAAUGGGCGAAAGCCUGAUCCAGCAAUGCCGCGUGUGUGAAGAAGGCCUCGGUU